rnacentral:rRNA from 1 species
GUGACUGCGUACCUUUUGUAUAAUGGGUCAGCGACUUAUAUUCUGUAGCAAGGUUAACCGAAUAGGGGAGCCGGAGGGAAACCGAGUCUUAAUUGGGCGUUAAGUUGCAGGGUAUAGACCCGAAACCCGGUGAUCUAGCCAUGGGCAGGUUGAAGGUUGGGUAACACUAACUGGAGGACCGAACCGACUAAUGUUGAAAAAUUAGCGGAUGACCUGUGGCUGGGGGUGAAAGGCCAAUCAAACCGGGAGAUAGCUGGUUCUCCCCGAAAGCUAUUUAGGUAGCGCCUCGUGAAUUCAUCUCCGGGGGUAGAGCACUGUUUCGGCUAGGGGGCCAUCCCGGCUUACCAACCCGAUGCAAACUGCGAAUACCGGAGAAUGUUAUCACGGGAGACACACGGCGGGUGCUAACGUCCGUCGUGAAGAGGGAAACAACCCAGACCGCCAGCUAAGGUCCCAAAGUCAUGGUUAAGUGGGAAACGAUGUGGGAAGGCCCAGACAGCCAGGAUGUUGGCUUAGAAGCAGCCAUCAUUUAAAGAAAGCGUAAUAGCUCACUGGUCGAGUCGGCCUGCGCGGAAGAUGUAACGGGGCUAAACCAUGCACCGAAGCUGCGGCAGCGACGCUUAUGCGUUGUUGGGUAGGGGAGCGUUCUGUAAGCCUGUGAAGGUGGCCUGUGAGGGUUGCUGGAGGUAUCAGAAGUGCGAAUGCUGACAUAAGUAACGAUAAAGCGGGUGAAAAGCCCGCUCGCCGGAAGACCAAGGGUUCCUGUCCAACGUUAAUCGGGGCAGGGUGAGUCGACCCCUAAGGCGAGGCCGAAAGGCGUAGUCGAUGGGAAACAGGUUAAUAUUCCUGUACUUGGUGUUACUGCGAAGGGGGGACGGAGAAGGCUAUGUUGGCCGGGCGACGGUUGUCCCGGUUUAAGCGUGUAGGUGUGUGUUCCAGGUAAAUCCGGUUCACUUUAACACUGAGGCGUGAUGACGAGGCACUACGGUGCUGAAGCAACAAAUGCCCUGCUUCCAGGAAAAGCCUCUAAGCAUCAGGUAACAUCAAAUCGUACCCCAAACCGACACAGGUGGUCAGGUAGAGAAUACCAAGGCGCUUGAGAGAACUCGGGUGAAGGAACUAGGCAAAAUGGUGCCGUAACUUCGGGAGAAGGCACGCUGACACGUAGGUGAAGUGAUUUACUCACGGAGCUGAAGUCAGUCGAAGAUACCAGCUGGCUGCAACUGUUUAUUAAAAACACAGCACUGUGCAAACACGAAAGUGGACGUAUACGGUGUGACGCCUGCCCGGUGCCGGAAGGUUAAUUGAUGGGGUCAGCGCAAGCGAAGCUCCUGAUCGAAGCCCCGGUAAACGGCGGCCGUAACUAUAACGGUCCUAAGGUAGCGAAAUUCCUUGUCGGGUAAGUUCCGACCUGCACGAAUGGCGUAAUGAUGGCCAGGCUGUCUCCACCCGAGACUCAGUGAAAUUGAACUCGCUGUGAAGAUGCAGUGUACCCGCGGCAAGACGGAAAGACCCCGUGAACCUUUACUAUAGCUUGACACUGAACAUUGAGCCUUGAUGUGUAGGAUAGGUGGGAGGCUUUGAAGCGUGGACGCCAGUCUGCGUGGAGCCGACCUUGAAAUACCACCCUUUAAUGUUUGAUGUUCUAACGUGGACCCGUAAUCCGGGUUGCGGACAGUGUCUGGUGGGUAGUUUGACUGGGGCGGUCUCCUCCUAAAGAGUAACGGAGGAGCACGAAGGUUGGCUAAUCCUGGUCGGACAUCAGGAGGUUAGUGCAAUGGCAUAAGCCAGCUUGACUGCGAGCGUGACGGCGCGAGCAGGUGCGAAAGCAGGUCAUAGUGAUCCGGUGGUUCUGAAUGGAAGGGCCAUCGCUCAACGGAUAAAAGGUACUCCGGGGAUAACAGGCUGAUACCGCCCAAGAGUUCAUAUCGACGGCGGUGUUUGGCACCUCGAUGUCGGCUCAUCACAUCCUGGGGCUGAAGUAGGUCCCAAGGGUAUGGCUGUUCGCCAUUUAAAGUGGUACGCGAGCUGGGUUUAGAACGUCGUGAGACAGUUCGGUCCCUAUCUGCCGUGGGCGCUGGAGAACUGAGGGGGGCUGCUCCUAGUACGAGAGGACCGGAGUGGACGCAUCACUGGUGUUCGGGUUGUCAUGCCAAUGGCACUGCCCGGUAGCUAAAUGCGGAAGAGAUAAGUGCUGAAAGCAUCUAAGCACGAAACUUGCCCCGAGAUGAGUUCUCCCUGAGACUU